rnacentral:tRNA from 1 species
GCCUGGGUAGCUCAGUGGUUAGAGCGCUGCCCUGAAGAGGCAGGCGUCGGGGGUUCGAUUCCCUCCCCAGGCA